GCUGGGCGUGGUGGCGUGCGCCUGUACUCCCAGCUACUCAGGAGGCUGAGGCAGAAGAAUCGCUUGAACCCAGGAGGCGAGCUUGCAGUGAGCCAAGAUCGUGCCACUGCACUCCAGCCUGGGCAACACAGUGAGACUCUGUCUCAA
rnacentral:SRP_RNA from 1 species